rnacentral:antisense_RNA from 1 species
GCGACUCCCCCGGGGCGGGGGUGGCGUGUGGUCUCUAGAAAACUGAGGGAAAGUAGACAGACCGUGCUCACCGAUUUAAAAGAACAGCCCUGAAAUGACCCCCGUUACACCCUGUUCUCUUUAGACAAGUGACUUCCACCUGGAGCGGUUUCUGGGCCCGGGCAUGGGGAUUUCCUCACCCGGCCCCCUAGGCUUUCACCUCGGUGGAAUUUCCCGCGCCCCCGCUGGGAUGAUUUAGGGACUGUUAGCUAGUGCUUGGCUGGGUGUGGAGAAGGAUCAAUCACAGCUGACUCCUCAGAGGUGACAGCCCCUGCCCCCUUAAAAACAAGAAAAGACCUAGCAGUGUGAAGCCAAACUGCACCCCCAGCCCCGGUGACAUGAGGAAACCAUGAGGCGCUCAGCCUGAGGUUCAUCGUUCAUCUCCUUCCUGCUUGGAAUCAGAAUGUCCUCACUGCUGAGUUUCUCCGUUUUAUGGGAUUACAUUAGUGGACAAAGGAGUGAAGCAAAGCAGCACUGAGCUCCUCCGAGUAAAGAAAGAAUUGUUUUCUGUACAACCUGGAGCUGAAUCAUAGAAGGAGAAGACAGCUUGAAAGAUAAGAGGCCGUAAGGCAGACCACAGAGGAUGGGGAGGAUUUCCCCAGCACCCCAGCCCCCACAGUCAGCUCUGGUUCAGCGAUUUCAGCAACUCUUUCAUGACCCAUCUGAUUUUGUUUUAUCCCAGCCCUGCAGAGAAAGGACUCUGCAGGUCAGGACUUGCUUCUUCAAC